UAACAAGAAAUCUGUGGAGUGGUUGAAAAACGAGUUUUAAUAACUCCAACCUAAGUGUAUGUCAACUUCCGACUUCAACUGUACAUGCCCACUUUUGCCGAUGAUGCCCAAAUUGCCCAGAAACAACACAUUGUGGUCUUUCCUCAGCUGCCAUGUGGACAUUUGUUGUCAAGUUUGCAUAUGGGUGACACACACGCACAUUUCACUCGGCAAAUUGGAGGGACAAUUUGCUUCCAUAAAGUUGAACAAGACUUCCAAUGCAUUUCAACAAUAUUGCCAAAUGGCCAAGAAUGGAUUUCCUCCGACACGGUCACUUCUGCCGCAUGUCAACCGUGAAACCGCUGGUGUUGGCUACGUACAAAACCUACCAUAUCAGGAGCUGUUACAGAAGGCUGAGGCAGUGGCCAGACACCAGUCCUGCUUCAGAGUAAUGGAGGACACUUGAAUAAGCUGGGUCAGAUAUAGGAGCCUAAGUCAGGCUCCUUUAUGACCAGUAUCUGUGACAAGAGGGACCUGGAGCCGAUCUACGCUGCCACGGACUUCAGAUGGAGGACAGAAGAGAUUCUUUUGAAAUGGAGUCCUCAGGUUGAUAUUGAUGUUUGAACUGGGACAGAGAUCUUGCACUCAAGCAUUCAAAUUAUACAAGACAUCUACUA